rnacentral:rRNA from 1 species
GUCCACGCCCUAAACGAUGCGUGCUCGGUGUGGGGGAUGACUCGAUCGUCCCCCGUGCCCUAAGCUUACGCGGUAAGCACGCCGCCUGGGGACUACGGCCGCAAGGUUAAAACUCAAAGGAAUAGACGGGGACCCCACACAAGCGGUGGAGCAUGGGGUUUAAUUCGAUACUAAGCGUGGAACCUCACCCAGGCUUGACAUCGCGAGGAAUCUCCCGGAAACGGGGGAGUGCCGCAAGGAACCUCGAUGACAGGUGUUGCAUGGUCGUCGU